AACUAGCCCUGAUAGAAGCGGCAUCCUUUUUUAUAAUUUUUUUAAAGCGCGAUGCAAAUAAAAAAUUAAAAAAAAGAUAUAGCGGAUAGCAGGUUCCAGG
rnacentral:sRNA from 1 species